CCUGGACACAGUCUCACUCCUCCAAGAACUGGGGAUCAAACAGCAUCUUUCUUCCAGCAUCCAAUGUCUUCUUACACACACUUUCUUUGGACGUACCAGAGAAAGAGACGAUAAGUCCAUAGAGCGACAUAAACUCACUACCUACGAUAUUUAAUACCAUACCAUGUUUUAAAUUUCUGCGACAUCUUGCAUGUUGUUGUAUCCAAUGUGUUGGGAUCUGUGUUCCAGGGCCUAUGUGUGUGGUUUAGUUUGCUGGUUAUUAAGCAAAAAGGAAUCGAAUUUCAUUUUUAAAAUUAUGAUUAUGGCGAACGAACUCUUUCGUCAUCGCUCAUAGGAUAUUUGGAAUAUGCCCUAUAACUGCAGACUCCAAUAUUGCAAAAAGCACCUGCAAUACAGUGGAAUAACAUAUUGGUGUGCUGAAGAAUAGAUGGCAAUGGCUUUUAGCUGAUAGGACAUUGUACUGAUGACCCUGUUAUCUGGUCAAAUCAUAAAUGUGUGUGUAUUAUCAAAAUAUUUGCAUAGAUUGUGAAAUGCUGAUGAUAUUUGAAAAUAAAAGAAUACUUACUUCGCUGA